AUCCAUUCUCUCUCUCUCUCUCUAGAAGGCGAAUUCCUCAACCCCGAAAGCUGAGGAUGAGUUCUCGGCAGUGCCUCGUCAUGCCUGAUCGUAAAGCUUUGAUUGUGGGUUGGUGGGUCUCGGGAUCGGGCUGCCUUUCAGGUUGAGCAAGGAGCACAUCUGAGGAAAGGAGCACAUACUCAAUGCUCUACAGACAAAGUUUGAGCAUGCACCUUGCAGCUCAAUCAGAGGGAACUGCUCCGGUAAUCCACAUUAAGCGAUGGAGCUGCCAGGUUCCGUAAGCUGAGCAGCUGCACGCAUUGUUAGAUCAUUGGCUAAUUCGGGAGGAGUGAACUCGAUCUUUUAUAGGAAACCGGAUGCGCAAGAGUUUUGAGGUACUUUUGUGCAGUCCAACUUUUUAGGCGAUGCUGUUGAUAUUUGCUGGGCAUAAAUAGCUCAUUACCAUGCUCACUUGGUCUUGGUUAUAGCAAAUUUACGCUUUGGGAGAAAUAUAUACGUGCUGUUGUUGGAAGAUCAAUCUCUAUCUUGGUUGGUUGCAAAUUGGCAAACGACGUAAUGUCCAAGGGCAACCAGUCAAUAGUCAUAGAACCUACAAAAAUCUCUUCAUGUCAGUACAUGCUAAACAAUCGAUAGCCUUCCAGCUCCCGAUUAAAUAAUGCCAGUUGUUCUUUGAUGUUAUCAAAAGACGGAAGCCAAUGCGAAAUAUCCAGCUCAAGGAAGCGUUCCGCUUCUCAAUAAUUAUCAUCCACCACUCCCGUCUUCAAG